rnacentral:rRNA from 1 species
GACGAACGCUGGCGGCGUGCUUAACACAUGCAAGUCGAACGGACAGGCCCUGCGUUUGUUCGGUGCUCGAUUGGCGAGGGGGGGUGUAACACGUGUGUAACCUCUCCUUAUCUGUGGGAUAACUUUAGGGGACUGGGGCGCAUACCGGGUAGGAGCUCCUGCUGCGUGGGGGGGGUUGGAAAGUGUCGGCGGUUGUGGAUGGACUGGCGGGUUACCAGCUUGUUUGUGGGGUAGUGGCGUACCAGGGCUUUGAAGGGUAGCCGGCCUGAGAGGGUGACCAGCCACAUUGGGACUGAGGUAGGGACCAGACUGCUACGUGCGGCAGUGGUGGGGAGUAUUGCACAACGAGCGGAAGCCAGAUGCAGAGACGCCGCGUGCGGGAUGCCGGCCUUCUGGUUGUAAACAGAUUUCGCCUGUGACGAAGAGUGAGUGACGGUAAUGGGUAAAGAAGCCCCGGCUAACUACGUG